UACUGUGCUGUCUAAGCACUGCUGUUGUGGAGCAGUUGCCUUGCAGGAGGCAUAGCUGUGCCCUGCUUGUGGUUAUAUACCCUGAUCCACUGUAUGAUCACCUCCACAUUCAUAUUGUCACAGACUAUGCCUUUUGCAAAAUUUUGCUGCCUCUGCAAAGAAGCAUAGUGGAGUCUGCAGCCUGCAAGAUUCCCAGAGUUAAGCUGUGGUCUGUUUAGUUUUUGCUCUGCAAUCAGGAUCAUGCCUUUGCUCUGAGAUAAGUUUGUCUUGUGACAUAAAUAAGUGAUUUUACAAUAAAAAUACAGUGGUUUUAAAGGGUUUUUUUUAUAUUUGUUCUUUAAUCUGGCAGUUACACCAAAGUUCUGGGGCUAACUCUUAUCUGUUGGGAGCACACCUUCUCUGUUCAGGAGGACAUGAAGAUUGUGGCAGGUAGAUAGGGCAUCUGCUGUGCUCCAGGGAGGCUCUGGGUCUGUACUUGUCUUGUGCCAGCUUAAUGGUUUCUAAAGUUCCUUAGAGAAGUUGUUAGAGACUUGCUAUGCGUGGGCUGACUCUGAACAGGUCCCUGCAGGAAUUAAUACAGCCUAGGUCCAAGGUGUGGGGACAAUGACAGCAGUGGCAGGUGGUGACAGCAUGGUCUCACAAUAAACAGGGAAAGUGGCUUUGCAGCAGAUGUGGGGAGCAGCAGAAAGCCAAGGAAAGGUCAUCAUGCUGCAGCCCCUGUGCGCUCACAACACCGGUCUCUGGUGGGAGCCACCACAGCAGUCUGGUGGAGGCUCCAGGCCAGCAGAGUUACCAGAUCCAUGUGACAUUACAUCUUUUGGCAGGGAAAAAUCUGUGGAAAAAGCAAAAGUUACACUGGAUCUUGUUUUGAUUAUUUGUUUCUAACCUCACUACAAAUGGAAAACAUUUCUCUGGUGAGUGUCUGCUUGUUAUUUUCCUAUUGUUUUAUCAUCCUCCCUGCUCUCAGUAGGGAGGAAUAAUCCUCAAAUGCUGCUCCAAAGGCUGACACUUAGACCAGAUUAUAGAGCUGCAGCACUGGGGACAGAUCUUUCCUUCUCUUGUAUUUAUUUUCCUUCACUUUAUUCUGCUGCAGAUCCACUCUCUAUUUCUCCUUUUAUUUUUCUGUCUUUCAGAGGAGUAGAUACAACCAGCAGAGCCUUCAGCAAACAACCGUCUCUCUUCCUUCCAGUUCUGUUUGAAGCCAUUUUUACUGCUUGAUGCCAAGAGGGUCACUACCUGCAGAUUCAAGGGACCUUGACAGCUUGGAGAGAAGAGGACUCCAAAUGGGAUGGAAGAGAGCGUGGCAGGGAGGGUUACUCAUGCAAUCGUGUUUUUGAAAGCAGGAGUCAGCCCUGUGAUGCCAGUGGUAACACCAAUGUUGGACUAGCUAUGAAAGCUAAAGCAGACUCCUGUGCAGCAUCAUCACAGGCAGAGCUGACUGCAGGCAAACACCAACACCCCAGGACAUAAUUACCUACCUCCCAGCACCUCACAGUCGCUGUCAAUGCUGUCGUGCACGCCUGCAAAGAUGUUGGCUAGCGAGGACUUCCCCACGCCGUGCUCCCCGAUCAGCACCACGCGGUAGCAGCUGCUGCCAGACUCGGAGGAGAUGACAGAGUCGGAUGACUCCGAGGACCAGCUCCUUCUGUAAUAUUCAUCAGGACUGAUGGUGUAUCGUUUCUGUGGGUUGUACUCAUUGGAGUCCUUCUGGACCAGCAGAUUCUUUCCAUCAGCAGGGAUGCUCCAUCGCUGCUGCUGCUGGUGCGGGCUGCUGUUGUGUGUGCGACGCAUGGUAACAUUGUUGAGAGUCAUUUUUAACCCCUAGUGAAAAAUAGGGAAAUCACAAAUGUUACCCACGAAACAUUUAGAAAUGCUCUCUUACUAGCUUCAAGGGGCCACAUCAUGCUCCUCUGUAAGGACCUAAUAUGUGAGAAAAGAAAAAUUAGCCUUUCUGCACUCUAGCGUACUUGGUGGUGCACAAAGCAGUAUUUUAUUUAUUAGCUAGUGAGACAGAGACUGUUUCCCAGGGAUAAUACCACCCUCACAUGCUAAAUCCUAUCUUGUUCAGCCUUUACUAGCUCACGGCUGUGCUGGGUGCAGCCCAGUCCUGGAAAGAGGGAGGCAUUGCUGCGUCCCAGGAGGAGAAGGAGGGGACAGUGCUCGCCACACCGGUCCUACACAGCAGCUGCAGCCCUGCUGAGAGACUGCCUGUGGUACAGGCAAUGUUCACCUCCUUUUGGCAUCACUGGGGACAGACAGAGACACUGGUCCCAGUUGCCUCCAGCUGCCGGAGCAGCUGGGUGUACAGCAUCUUUCUCAUUGACUCAGUUAAGAGCUGAAACUCUUGGGAAAGCAAUAAGUCAUAAUUCACUGCACUCUUGAGACAACCCUGGUACAAAAAGUCAUACAAGCAAGUCUUGCUGUGAUGGGGUGGAUUUGGGUCUUGUCUGUGGCCAGGUAAACAAAGAAUGAUUCGGCCUCAGACAGUGACUUUUUGGCUGGUAAGAGGGAGGACAUAGUGAAAUCCAACAGCUUUUCUGAGGAGGUACAAGUUAUAGCUUCUACAAGAGAUAGAACUGAGAUAAAAGGCUCAUUAAUUUAUAGAUAUUAAAUCAAUUACUUAAUUUCUGCACAAUUAAUUAGAUAGGUUCAUUCUUCUAAAAUAAGCAUAGCUCUUAAUUACAUUUUACUCAGCAAACUCUAUUUUGCCUUGCUUGGAGGCAGGGAAGAGUGAUGUCAUUCUCACAGGCCAAUACCUACCAUUUUUAGGAAAGUUACUUUGAUGCACUCCAGUUUCCAAAGUGACCAUUAUUCAGACAUUUUUCUUUUUUGCCCUAUAUCUGAUGUUUCUUGACUCUCUCCUCCAUAUCAGUAAAUAGGAUAAUUGUCCAUAAAAUUCACCCAACUACUUUCAAAGCUCAAUAAUAAAUGGUGAACAGUAAAAAGUACAGUAAAGCAACAUGUACAAAUUGCUAUUCUUCUUCAUAAAAAACUGUCUGAAAACUUCUGUGACUAAAUUCCCAGCAGGACCAAGGACAAAAUAUAUAGAAAAAGCACUAUCUGAAUUUACUACAGAAUACACAAUAUUUUCUGUGUGAUGUGCAGUACUUUGGGGCAAAAGGAGAUCGUUUUCAUGGUCCUAGUCACAAUAACUUUGUCAGCAAGAGAUACAUCUGAAGAAGAAAUCACGUACUAAGCAAAGACUUCUUCGCAAACAAACUUAAAUAUUUGCUGUGGUUGAAUUCUGAAAUGCACUUUUCCCUUCAGUAUCCCCAUUGAAAAGAUCAGAUGAGAAAAUCCAGAUCGCAUUCAAACAACAGAGUAACUCACAACCUGCAACAAGCAGUCACUCACAAAAACAUCACAAACACAAAUAUUUUACAAUUUAGCCUCUCACAAAUUGUCAUCCCUCAUUAAAAAAAGCCAAAGGAGUCCCUGUCACACACUGUGCUCCAAGUUCAAACUGGUUUUGCUACCCCAUACUGCAUUUAGCUGCCUGGGUCUGCAGCAGCUCCAGGAAAAGACUGGGUCCAAAUCCACUCUUACUUGUGCCAGGCUCCCGCAGCCAGUCCAGUCCUUUGUUCCCCCUGCCCUUCUCCCUCGGUGGGCUGUGACACACUGAGCAGCUCUGCUGAAGUAAAUCCUCUCCUGCUUUGGGUCUGCCUCUUUAAUUCUUUCUCAGCAAACCUGGUUUAUAUUAAGCCCAUCUGAUCAGAGACAGGGCUUUUCCGUGACGUGGCCAGCCUUCCCAUACAACAGCCAGCCCCCAGCUGGGGGAAAGCAGACGUGCAGCAGAGAAAAACUUGCAAACAAUCUCAAAAGACUUACUCAAAAUCAUGUGAUUGUUUCAAUAUUGCCAGUAAAAUAAACACUUUUGGUUCUUGCGUGAUGAAAACAGGAAAGUGGAACAAAAAUAAAUAAUGGAUGUUAUUUAGCCUCAGAGAGUUUUAAAUUCAAAUGUUAUCAAAAUUAAUGAUGAUUUAAAAAUCACCUAAGUUUAUUUAAUGCAUUAAAUUCUGUAAAUGUAUUAUGUAUCUGUUCUCUGUCGGCAAAACACACUUAACCCCCUGCUGGACAAAACAUUUCUCUGGAAUAAAAUAUCUGAAUGUUAUUUUGAAAUAU